AUGCGGAUGAAAUUGAAGGCGGCUUAUACACUGAUUGAACAACUGUACACCGGUGCACAACGGGUUAUCUCUACAGUCUCUUAUAACAAACCAGCACCAACACUGAUCAAAGACACAUUAGCAGGACUAUCCAUGACACCGGCUCAGAUAGAAGAGGUGAAACGUUCUGCUGCUAGGGUUGGCGCUUUACUGGCACUGACCCGGGCCAAAGCAUGGAUAUCUGACUUGGAUCCGGUUGACAUUGCCAAGGGAUUCCCAGAUGAACAGGCAGACGGAUCAGCAUUUGAUAAUGACACACUUAAAGCUCUGACAAAGGAGAUGUGUCCACUGUCUAGUCAGCUGGCUCUAGAAGCUAAUCUGACUGUGCAUCGGUAUUUUUAUGAUGAAGGGAACCAUCGAGUUGACUAG
rnacentral:rRNA from 1 species